UGUGGCCCCACUGAACAUCUCCACCGGGUAGUGUCUUCUGCUGAACAGAUUGUUGACUGUGUUAGCUGAGAGAGAGAGAGAGAGAGAGAGAGAGAGAGAGAGAGAGAGAGAGAGAAUCACCUGUUAGGAAGGAGAAAGAAUGGGGCUGCCUAUAACCAGGUCCAAAACAGAUGACCAACAUGUCCAGAAAGAGGCCUUUCAGUUUGGGACAUGUAUUCACAAUAGCAAAUAUAUCAUUUUCAAGGAGGGUGGUGGAUCCACGUCCCAAAUCUGUGAUCUUUAAUGUAAGUCAUUCCCUUGCUUUCCUAAUUGCAAUCCUAGCCUCUCCUGUGCAAGGGAUUAAUUCCAUUUCAUAAUUUAAGUAGCCUUUCCUGGAUACCAGAUGGGUAUUGAUUUCCAGUAAUACCCUCAGAUCACAUUGCCCUCUACUCGUAUCACCUCAUACAAGGCUAAAUGCAUUGUUCUGGGACAUAUAAAAUUCCCUGGCCUUGUUCACCACAUAACAUCAUUCGUCUUAUCUCCUGUGCUAAGUGCCAGUUGCACCCCUCACACUUCCCAAGAGCCAAUGUGGUUACAGUGUAGGACUAGGACCUGGAAGGCCAGAGUUCAGUUCACAUUUUGGCCAUGAAGCUCCCUGGGGGAUUUCGGGCCAUUCACUGCCUCUUAGCCAAACCUACCUCAUAUGAUCAUCGUCAACUGCUCCGUGCAAUGACUGGAUUUUGCGUCCAGUCCUCAGGACGCUUCUACAUUAUUUCACUGGUCCAUAGCCUUCUGACCACAGGGACAGUCUGUAAGAUCAGUAGGCUGGGUGUGAGAAACCAGGAGCGAGUGGCAACUCAGCAGCCAAAGAACAGUAGUAAUUUGAAAAGGAGGACCGUGCAAAUGAGAUGGAGCUCUAGAGCACAGCAUGGGCAGAUCCCAGGUGAAAACAUUGGCCUCACCAGUUAAGAAGAAGAAGAAGAAGAGUUUGGAUUUGAUAUCCCGCUUUAUCACUACCCGAAGGAGUCUCAAAGCAGCUAACAUUCUCCUUUCCCUUCCUCCCCCACAACAAACACUCUGUGAGGUGAGUGGGGCUGAGACACUUCAAAGAAGUGUGACUAGCCCAAGGUCACCCAGCAGCUGCAUGUGGAGGAGCAGAGAUGCGAAGCCGGUUCACCAGAUUACGAGUCCACCACUCUUAACCACUACACCACACUGGCUCUCUUAAAGGGAGAUUGGAUGGCAGGGCUAGGUAAAGCGUACCAGGGUGUAGGGGCACUGCCACUCGGAGUACUCAUACUGGUUGGAAUGGGCCCACAAUCUUACCCAGUGUAUGACCUGUUCAUAUAGCAAGUCUUGUUGGCUGCGAUGCUUCCUCACCAAUGCUGGUGUCCCCUUUCAGCAGCACAGAGCCACUUCAUCAGAAAAAAAGGUGGUUGAGAUAACGUCUGCCUAAGUGCCCCAACAGAAUCCUUUUAGGGUUCAGUCACACUUAAUUCUGAAAUUGAACUCUGCAUGUUCCAGAGCCAUUACUUGACUUUCUCUCCUUUUUCUUCCAGAGCUCGCGAGUUGUGGGGCUCCCCAAAGGCCAGGCGAGCAGCGACAUAAAUUGACCCACCUCUCAUUCGGAGAAAGCCCCGGUGAGUGUGAGCGUUAAUACAGAAAGUGGCCAGCCGCCAAAAAACGAAAGUUACCAGAUCUGCCGAGAAUCCCCAGUGUGACAUCAUGAAAUGGAAGGAAUCUGCUGGGCGCCAAAGCGUCUGUUAAAGAUCAAAGAAAGGAGCUGGGGGAGAGUUAAGGAAAUAGAAACUAGGAGAGAAAAUGGGGUGGCUAGUUGGAGGAAAAGGAUGUGAGAUUUGGCUCAGGGGUGGGGGGCGGAGAGAAAGGGAAUACUCUGGAAUAAGGAAAUCCCCAGACACUUUCAUAGACCUGAAUUACAUGUGCAUUUUCUACUAAGUUCACUGUAUCACAAACUCAACCUGACUUUUACAGCAGCCAGAUCUGCUACUCUGGUAGAAACAGAGGAAGCUGCCUUGCACUGAGUCAGACCAUUGGUCCAUCUAACUCAGUAUUGUCUACACUGACUAGUAGUGUUUUCCCAGGGUUUCAGGCAGGAAACCUCUCCCAGCCCUGCCUGGAGAUGGUGGAUGGAUUGAGGCCUUCUACAUGCCAGGCAGAUGACCCAACACUGAGCUGUGUCCCUUCUCCAAACUCUCCCCUGUCCCAAAACCGGCCCCUUUCCCCUGACUGAUUAAGCUUACAAAGAACCACUUUUGCAUGAGUUUGAAGUGUUUUCUACAGCACAAUUAUUGCCCAUACAAUAUACACGUCUACCCAGAAAUGAGCUCAAGGGGACCUACUCCCCAUUACCAGGGUUGGGAAACAUGUGUCAUUAUACAAAAGCAGGCAUAGCUGCUUACUUCAUUUCCAGGAGAGUGCCUUAUUUAUACAUCUGUCCAUUUGCAGAUCCCUGGACGACCUUGAAAUUUCAGCUAUUGAAUCAACAGGCUGAUCAUUCCCCUUGAUGGCCAUUACCAUUUUUCUCAUUUUGUUCUCAGGUAUACUCUUGUGUUUCCAGUGUGUGUGUGUGUGUGUGUGUGUGUGAUUCCUUUAAGGUAUAAAAAUACACGUUUCAGCACAAUGGAUUAACCACAUACUAGGAAUUUUUUUACUGUUUGUGAGCGUGUGGGUGUAGACCCAAUCUCCAUGCUUAUUCUGAUGAAUAUACCUUCCUGCUAUCUGGGCACCAGGGG
rnacentral:lncRNA from 1 species